UGCUGAAACACUAGUUCUUGUCUGAUCACCAAAGUUAAGCAAUGUCAGUACUUAAAUGGGUGACCACUUGGGAAUUCCAGGUGCUGUAAG